rnacentral:rRNA from 1 species
AGAGUUUGAUCAUGGCUCAGAUUGAACGCUGGCGGCAGGCUUAACACAUGCAAGUCGAACGGUAACAGGAGAAAGCUUGCUUUCUUGCUGACGAGUGGCGGACGGGUGAGUAAUGCUUGGGAAUCUGGCUUAUGGAGGGGGAUAACUACGGGAAACUGUAGCUAAUACCGCGUAAUAUCUUCGGAUUAAAGGGUGGGACUUUCGGGCCACCUGCCAUAAGAUGAGCCCAAGUGGGAUUAGGUAGUUGGUGGGGUAAAGGCCUACCAAGCCGACGAUCUCUAGCUGGUCUGAGAGGAUGACCAGCCACACUGGAACUGAGACACGGUCCAGACUCCUACGGGAGGCAGCAGUGGGGAAUAUUGCACAAUGGGGGAAACCCUGAUGCAGCCAUGCCGCGUGAAUGAAGAAGGCCUUCGGGUUGUAAAGUUCUUUCGGUGAUGAGGAAGGUGUUUGUUUUAAUAGAACAAGCAAUUGACGUUAGUCACAGAAGAAGCACCGGCUAACUCCGUGCCAGCAGCCGCGGUAAUACGGAGGGUGCGAGCGUUAAUCGGAAUGACUGGGCGUAAAGGGCACGCAGGCGGUGACUUAAGUGAGAUGUGAAAGCCCCGAGCUUAACUUGGGAAUUGCAUUUCAUACUGGGUCGCUAGAGUAUUUUAGGGAGGGGUAGAAUUCCACGUGUAGCGGUGAAAUGCGUAGAGAUGUGGAGGAAUACCGAAGGCGAAGGCAGCCCCUUGGGAAUAUACUGACGCUCAUGUGCGAAAGCGUGGGGAGCAAACAGGAUUAGAUACCCUGGUAGUCCACGCUGUAAACGCUGUCGAUUUGGGGAUUGGGCUUAGAGCUUGGUGCCCGUAGCU